rnacentral:rRNA from 1 species
GUUUGAUCCUGGCUCAGAAUCAACGCUGGCGGCGCGCUUAACACAUGCAAGUCGCACGAGAAAGGGAGCAAUCCUAAGUAAAGUGGCGUACGGGUGAGUAACACGUGGAUAAUCUACCUCUUGGUGGGGAAUACCUCCUGGAAACGGGAGACAAUACCGCAUAAGCUGCCCUUUUUAAUAAAGGGACAGGAAAGCAGCAAUGCGCCGAGAGAGGAGUCCGCGGCCGAUUAGCUAGUUGGCGGGGUAACGGCCCACCAAGGCGAAGAUCGGUAGCCGGCCUGAGAGGGCACACGGCCACACUGGCACUGAAACACGGGCCAGACUCCUACGGGAGGCAGCAGUGGGGAAUCUUGCACAAUGGGGGAAACCCUGAUGCAGCGACGCCGCGUGAGCGAUGAAGCCCUUCGGGGUGUAAA